GAUGAACGCUGGCGGCGUGCCUAAUACAUGCAAGUAGAACGCUGAAGCUUGGUGCUUGCACCGAGCGGAUGAGUUGCGAACGGGUGAGUAACGCGUAGGUAACCUGCCUCUUAGCGGGGGAUAACUAUUGGAAACGAUAGCUAAUACCGCAUAAAAGUCGAUAUCGCAUGAUAUUGAUUUGAAAGGUGCAAUUGCAUCACUAAGAGAUGGACCUGCGUUGUAUUAGCUAGUUGGUGAGGUAACGGCUCACCAAGGCGACGAUACAUAGCCGACCUGAGAGGGUGUUCGGCCACACUGGGACUGAGACACGGCCCAGACUCCUACGGGAGGCAGCAGUAGGGAAUCUUCGGCAAUGGGGGCAACCCUGACCGAGCAACGCCGCGUGAGUGAAGAAGGUUUUCGGAUCGUAAAGCUCUGUUGUAAGAGAAGAACGAGUGUGAGAGUGGAAAGUUCACACUGUGACGGUAACUUACCAGAAAGGGACGGCUAACUACGUG
rnacentral:rRNA from 1 species